UGAAUUAUUUGAUCCCACUAAAUGUGCCGAAAACUGUCUGUCAGCUGGAAAAAGGUCACGUCGACCCAACUACAAGUCAUGGCCAAGUGAUUCCGAGUCCGACAUGAUUUUUGUGUAGCCUAAAUGUGAUAUUUUCUAUUUAUCUUUUUAGUAAAUCGGUGCUGUUUUGUGUAGCCUAAAUGUAAUCUUGUCUAUUUGUAUUAAUUUAGUGGCCAUUCUCAACCUGCAGCGCAAUGAGACAAUGGUGGCCAAAGUCUAUGACCUUCUCCAUCUUGUGUGGAAGACAUACCAACAGAGCCCUAAAUCCAGGCGUGAGCUGAACCUGAUUGGAGAAGAGCUAGGUGUGAGGGUCUGCUCUCCUUCGAGCGUGAAAGGGACGCGUGGAUUCCCCAUGUACACCGGGCACUGAGUGUGUUCCUUCGUGCAGCAAAAGAAGGGAGUCUGUCAACUGACAGUGGUCAGUAUUCGGCUGUUUUGCGCCACAUGGACCACCUUGCCUCCUCAGCAGCCAGUGCUGAAAUUCAAGGGCGUGCAAAGAAGGGUGUACCACUCUCAGGAGAUGUCACAGGAAUGCAGCAGAGGCUACAGAGAAACAUCACCUCUGUCAUCACCACCACUGUGGAAGCCAUUAACACCAGAUUCGGCAGUCUCAUCAAUGAGGACUCAAGACUACUCUGCAGUGAAUUGCAUGAAAAUCUUUCAUCACGACACCUGGCCUGAGAAUACCAAUGAACUGGUUGAUUAUGGAAACGAUCAGUUGGAGGCCCUAAUGGAGCAUUUUCGUCAUGUCCUUACAAGCUCUGGAUGUCAGAUGGAUGCUUUGCCAGGGGAAUGGCAGAGUUUGAAGACCCUUUUAAAUUACUCUUACAGAACAUCCUACACCUUGUGGACAUACUGUUGGUCCUCCCAAUUUCUUCUGCACAGUGUGAGCGGGGCUUCUCUGCGCAGAAACGCCUCAAAAGCUCUUUGAGGAGCUGCUUGCAUGUCUCCACCACAGAGGAUCUUAUCAGGAUCACUACAGAGGGCCCCUCACUUGAAUUAUUUGAUCCCACUAAAUGUGCCGAAAACUGUCUGUCAGCUGGAAAAAGGUCACGUCGACCCAACUACAAGUCAUGGCCAAGUGAUUCCGAGUCCGACAUGAUUUUUGUGUAGCCUAAAUGUGAUAUUUUCUAUUUAUCUUUUUAGUAAAUCGGUGCUGUUUUGUGUAGCCUAAAUGUAAUCUUGUCUAUUUGUAUUAAUUUAGUUUUAGUAAGUUGGUGCUGUUGGUGCGG
ensembl:lncRNA